UACGAAGGGGGCUAGCGUUGCUCGGAAUCACUGGGCGUAAAGCGCACGUAGGCGGAUUGUUAAGUCAGGGGUGAAAUCCUGGAGCUCAACUCCAGAACUGCCUUUGAUACUGGCGAUCUCGAGUCCGGGAGAGGUGAGUGGAACUGCGAGUGUAGAGGUGAAAUUCGUAGAUAUCGGGAGGAACACCAGUGGCGAAGGCGGCGAUCUGGGGUCGAUACUGACGCUGAGGUGCGAAAGCGUGGGGAGCAAACAGG
rnacentral:rRNA from 1 species